UGGGGAAUAUUGGACAAUGGGGGCAACCCUGAUCCAGCAAUGCCGCGUGUGUGAAGAAGGCCUUCGGGUUGUAAAGCACUUUAGGUGGGGAAGAAGCUAGGUAUUUUAAGAGAUAAUCUAGUUGACGGUACUCACAGAAUAAGCACCGGCUAACUCUGUGCCAGCAGCCGCGGUAAUACAGAGGGUGCAAGCGUUAAUCGGAUUUACUGGGCGUAAAGGGCGCGUAGGUUGUUGUAUAAGUGAGAUGUGAAAUCCCCGGGCUUAACCUGGGAACUGCAUCUUAUACUGUAUAACUGGAGUGCAAUAGAGGGUAGUGGAAUUUCCGGUGUAGCGGUGAAAUGCGUAGAUAUCGGAAGGAACACCAGUGGCGAAGGCGGCUACCUGGAUUGACACUGACACUGAGGCGCGAGAGCGUGGGGAGCAAACAG
rnacentral:rRNA from 1 species